ensembl:snRNA U6 U6 spliceosomal RNA
AUGCUUGCUUCGGUAAGCACAGAUACUAAAACUGGAAUGACAGAGCAGUUCAGCACAGCCCCUGUGCAAAGAUGACACCACAGAUUUGUGACGUCUUCCAUAUUUUU